GCUGGGCGUGGUGGCUCACGCCUGUAAUCCCAGUAGUUUGGGAGGCUGAGGUGGGUGGAUCACCUGAGGUCAGGAGUUUGAGACCAGCCUGGCCAACAUGGUGAAACCCCAUCUCUA
rnacentral:SRP_RNA from 1 species